CCCUGUCUCAGUAUAUAGCCUAGCAGUCUCCGUGUUUUGGAAGUGCUGUGCCCCCCUGUCUCAGGAUAUAGCCCAGUAGUCUGUGUUUUGGAAGUGCUGUGUGCAGACUGUCACAGUAUACAGCCUAGCAGUCACUGUGUUUUGGAAGUGCUGUGUGUUCCUGUCUCAGUAUAUAGCCUAGCAGUCUCUGUGUUUUGGAAGUGCUGUAUCCCCCUAUCUCAGUAUAUAGCCUAGCAGUCUCUGUGUUUUGGAAGUGCUGUGUCCCCCUAUCUCAGAAUACAGCCUAGCAGUCUGUGUUGUGGAAGUGCUGUGUCCCCCUGUCUCAGUAUAUAGAC